rnacentral:rRNA from 1 species
AACGAACGCUGGCGGCGUGCUUAACACAUGCAAGUCGAACGAGAAAGCGGGCUUCGGUCCGCUAGUAAAGUGGCAGACGGGUGAGUAACACGUGGGUAACCUGCCCGGAGGUGGGGGACAACCCUCCGAAAGGAGGGCUAAUACCGCAUGAUAUCCCUGAGGCUUCGGCCUUGAGGAUCAAAGCUAGCCUCUACAUGUAAGCUAGCUCCACCGGAGGGGCCCGCGGCCCAUUAGCUAGUUGGGAGGUAACGGCUCACCAAGGCGACGAUGGGUAGCCGGCCUGAGAGGGUGUUCGGCCACACUGGAACUGAGACACGGUCCAGACUCCUACGGGAGGCAGCAGUGAGGAAUCUUGCGCAAUGGGCGAAAGCCUGACGCAGCGACGCCGCGUGGAGGACGAAGGUCUUCGGAUCGUAAACUCCUGUCAAGUGGGACGAAGGCUGUUGGGAUGAAUAAGCCCAGCAGUUGACGGUACCGCUG